rnacentral:rRNA from 1 species
UACGUAGGGCGCAAGCGUUAUCCGGAAUUAUUGGGCGUAAAGAGCUCGUAGGCGGUUUGUCGCGUCUGCCGUGAAAGUCCGGGGCUCAACUCCGGAUCUGCGGUGGGUACGGGCAGACUAGAGUGCAGUAGGGGAGACUGGAAUUCCUGGUGUAGCGGUGAAAUGCGCAGAUAUCAGGAGGAACACCGAUGGCGAAGGCAAGUCUCUGGGCUGUAACUGACGCUGAGGAGCGAAAGCAUGGGGAGCGAACAGG